UGUGAGGAGCUCGGGGCAUUGUGCACUCUGUGGAGGCUGGAGUUUGGGGGACAGUGUGAGGAGGUGGGGGCAUUGUGUGCUCCCAACAAGGCUGCUAAAUCAAACACAAGAUUCCCAGUUGAAUUUUAAUUCCACAUAUAAAUUUUAUCUGGAAUUAAAAUUUAUAUAUGUGUGUGUGUGUUUGUGUGUGUAAAAUGUUUUAUUUAGUGUAAGUGUGUCCCAAAUGUUGCGUGGAAUCUGCUGCCAGGAUUGCAAAGCUUGUAGGACAGGAGGAAGUGUUCUGCUAAUUCCUUUCUGAUGGAUCAUUCCUUGUCACAGAGAGUACCCUUCCCUCUUGUGUGUCCCAUGUCCAGCUGGCUGUACCAUUACCCAGUUGACUCUGAUUAAAUCAAUUCAAAUAUUAUAGGAAUGCUGUUAGUAACAGAUGGGCUUGAGAUUUAGUUGUGGGAGUCUGCAUUCAGUUUUCCAGUGAGAGGAAGUCAGGAAUUGAGCUUAAAUUCCAUCUGGCUGCAUGUCUAACAUUGACUUAAGCAAACUUGUAUAAUUCUGGGGGUAAAACCCUACAAUUAUUUGGUUAAUUUUUGUCCUGAGUUUUCCAUAAACACAUAUGGAGAGGUCACUCUGAAUGACACUUUCCAUUUUGAAUCACAGUUUGGCCUUUUACACCUGAGGUCUCCAUCAACAGAAAUCGACAGAAAUGCCUUUUAACUUUCUAAGGAUUUAGCCAUCUAAUCAAAGCCGAAUUGUAAUCUCCUGCAGUUACUCAUGAGCAAAUCACUGGCUCCCUGGAGAAAUGAUGGUACAAGCAAUACCUGAAGGUACAGGUGCCGUACAAGAAAGGGUUCCAAGACCAACAGGAACACACCGAAGGAACCCAGGCUAAAGUAAUCCCACAUAGAGUUUUCACCUCACUUCUCGGAACUAGUCUAACUGUAUGUGGAGGGGUAAAGUAUGACUCGAAUUCAGCUGUUGAUUUCCCAUCACUAACCAUCAGUCAUGCCUCCCGAUGAGAUGCAACAUGAAUCACACUACAUCACAGAGAAUGAUGCUGGCAAAAUAUUUUGUGUGAUUCCAUUUAGCUUGCAAAUCCAGCUACCAAUUUGUAGAAAGUACAAGACCCAGAGGAUUAAACUGAGAUCGAUUACAGGGACACAACCAGCCUGGAAAAAAAUCUCUUCUAAAUCCCUUGAGGAAGCUGUUUUCAUUGAACUUCUGAUCCUACCAGAAGCAAUGUUUGUCCAGAGAAGUCUGUUGCCUCUCUUUAUAAAUUCAGUCUGAUGUUACAUCAAAGAAAUGCAGAUAAACACGGGGGCUGUAAGUU
rnacentral:lncRNA from 13 species